GCCUCUAUUCUGCAUUAUAAUACUACUUCACAUCAUAUUCUGUGUUUUUGACCUCUUUUUGUUGUUUUGUAGGUUUUAAUCUGACGUCGUUCUCUUAUUCCCAGAUAUUUGGCAGCAGCCGCAGCCGUGAACUACAUAUACCAUCAUGCCUUGCGCGCUUACGUUUGCUGAAAGCAGCAUGUGCUUCGCUGCUCCGCUCCAACUAUGGCUCAGUGAGGCUGCGGCUCUUCUCAGGAUGGUGUCGUAUCGGCAGAGGCGCUCUUUGGAGCUACAGCAGAGACUAUCAUCGCACUGGACCAGAGGGAGGAACCGGCAUCUUUUUGUUCCUUACUGGAAAUAUUCAUAAUCUGCUUGAUUUGCCAAACCCAGUUUUUGGCACGGAUUCUUUUAAUUUACAAAGAGGAUUAAAUUGUAACGUUACAACGCGGACACACGUGGAUUGAUACUAUCAUUUUGCUUUAACCUGAUCAUGAGGGCAACAGCCGAGGGACUUAAAACUGUAGCUAUGGCUCGUCCUGUAGGUAUCAGGGAAAACUGUCCUGUCCGGGAUGAGUGGCGUCUGUUACUGCCACAGUCCUCCUGCUGGACAAGUCGGUCGACUCUCCUGGGAUAACUUGGGAUACACGCGUUGUCAACACUGUCAGAGGUGGUCAGUGUCAUAUGCUUUUGGAAAUGUAUUCUUUUGGAUUUUGGCACAAGGAAAAGGAUACCCUGGAAUAAAUUUUGGAAGCUGUGCUCCGUAGAUGUCCAGUGAUUUGGAUAAUAUGAAUACGCAUCUCCUGACCCAGCAGUGAAGGAGUCCAGGCUCUUGGCAAUGAGAUGUCAACCUUUAUUUGUUCCCAGCAAUCUUCUGAUUAUCUCCAGUGAGCAACAAGAAGAGGCUGACUAAUGGAAACAUGAUCUCAAGAGAUUCAACAGGUAGGGACGACUUUGGUUUUUGUUUGAUCUUCAUUCUGUGGAAUAUGUGAUCACACACAGCACAGUCUUAGGACAGUUGCUGUAAACAACCAAAAUAUGCUACGUUCACUGAUCAAACAGAGGUAGCAGUGGCAGUUCACAUAUAUAAAAGACAUGAUCAGGGUGGUGGCACUGGAUUUUUGCCUAUAUUCGUGCUUUUUUUAAAAAUUAUGUAACCCAAGUCAUGACAGUACAGUAAAAAAUGCAGUGGCACAGAGGUAUCACUUCAAACACAGCUUCUCUUGGGAGCCUCAGAUCCUUUCAUUGGUGCUGAAUGAAGAUAUGCUUUGAUGGCCCACCACAGAGUCGUGGCCUUCAAAGAAACUCAUUGACUGAAUUGUGCAGGGCCGCCAGCAGGCUGAAUGAGCGCCACUGUAUAAGUGCACCUCUCAGGGUAGUCGUGGGUGUUCCCAGUGGAGGUCAAACAUGCUUGACCCCAACAUGAGUACUAAUUUUCUAUAGAUUUUAGGUUUGCAUUUCUCUUCUUUUCUUUCCUUCUGCCUGGUUCUAUUACUAAAUGACGGGGAGCUGUGUGCGGAUGGCAGGGUGCCAGCAGACAGGUACUGUAGAUGUGAUGAUGAGGGAGUGUGAUAGAGGCUGGCCUCAGUUGCAUCCCCAGGCAAAGACAGACAUACACAGGCAGGCUGAGACUCAGAGGCAGGUUGGGGCCUGGUUUUGUAUGCUGAUGCUGCUCUGCUGGCUCUGCUCCAAGGUGAGGCAUAGGCGAGAAACGUGGGAAGGGAAAAACCAGAAUGGUGGCCAAAAGUAAAGAUACAGAAAACACACAACCACAAAUGAGGAUAGAUUAUAGCAUAGAGUGUUAACAAAAAACAAGACAGUGUUUGUAGCUUAUGCUCCAGGAAACAAACUGAAAAGAGAUGAUGACGUGAAGCCCUGAGGAGAGAGAGGGAAAUGCAGGAGGAGAGAUAUGAAGAAAGAGUGCGGCCACUUCCUGUACGCUGGUAGAACGUGACUCCACACAGGAUCACACCAAAUCCAAGUUUGGAUGGUGGACCAGCAUCCCCACAGCAGAUGUUUGCUCCUGGCAUGGCUGCUGACAGUAUGAGCUCCAUCACUGACAGUCUAGCUCUCAGGAUCCAGCCAGCAGCUUGAACUUGGAGGAGCCAUGACAUAAACUCACCAGGAUAGCAAAGCAUAUUCCGCUGCUCAGGCAUCAUGGAACAUAUCAGUCAACCUCUUCUGGAAAGGUGCUCAAGAGAGGAGUCAACUUGAUGAAUGAGCAUUUACUGUAGCUACCAUGACGGUCUACAUACUGUUUAACUAUUUUCUAAAUUGAAACUGGAUUAGUAUUUUCCCGUGCAUACAUCUGCUCUUGAUUUUCAAUAUUUACUGACACUGUUGCUCAUAUACUGUAGCUGUGAUUUUUACUGUGUUAUUCUAAAUACAGCAUCAAUAGUUUUUUUGGAUUUCAUUUUCUGGACUAUUUUUACUACUUUGAAGGCUAUUCUUUGCUUAACAUUUCAGGUUGAUCGAAUGAGGAUACAUAUCUCCUAUGCAUGUGAUCAAAAUGCCUCAGAAAAAUUACUCUGCCAAGACAAUGGAACAUUUCAAAGAAGCCAUUGUCAUCAUGGUCUUGAUAAAUGUAAAACAAAAUCUCUUUUAAUGACAACGCAUUUUGUUUUGACACAUUGGCAGCGUGUCUUAAUUCUGGUUCAUAAUCCUGUCAAGUUGUCGACUCUCAUUAUGAUUUAUUGCUCCAACAUUUGUGUUGUGUCUGUGAAACCUUGUUAGCAGAAAUAAAGAGGUGUAUCCAAGCUGCUGUCUGUUUUAUCAUUGCAUCUGCAGCUCUGUGAGAUGAGUAACCGAUAAGAUGGUUUCAUGAUGUUAUCUGUGUCAACUGUUACUGUUCGUCAAGCUGGUUUCAUUACUAGUUAGUUACUAUGUGCCAAUCUGGUAUUAGGGGAUUAGCUAGAGUUGUAUCACUCUUUUAUUUUUCUUUUGGGUUUAGACAGUGAAUAAAAGUGAAGUGAAAAUGGAAAACCAUGACAUUUAAAUGUUGAUAAAUUGAAAUGUUUUAGGAAAUCACAAGGUUUUGCUUGACUAAUUCAAUGUGAAUAAUAAGGACAAUGUUCAAGAGAUUAAAAAUGCAUUGUGCAAAAACCAAAUUCAUUAUAAUCACAAGCACUUUUGUAGUUUUAACACAUGACAUCAUAGAAAUUAG
ensembl:lncRNA